rnacentral:misc_RNA from 1 species
AAAUUCAAGAUUUAUUCCCUUUUCGUGUCCAUAGAGACAGCGAUACGUUUUCCUACGAGUCGUGUGUAUCGGUACUAUACACGUAUAGAUCGAACGAUCAAAAAUUUAGUUCCCGUUGAAUCGCAUCCAAGCGAUAUAACGCGGGAUUUCGAAGCUACUUUCGCCGAGCUUGCCCAUCGAACCGUCUCUUACGAUCCAUUCGCGUAUAUCGCCUGUCAUAAUAUGGGAAUCCGUGUGAAAAUUCUGUACUGUGGCGUCACUGUCCAAACUAAAUACGAUCGUACGAAUUGGACGAACUGAAAAAUUCAAUCGAUUUCAUUUAUAAAUGGAUUUCAUACGUAUCGUAACGAUGGUUCUGGUUGUUCGAGAAAACGAAGAUCUCAACUAUUGAUCAGGCGGAUUUGCUUUACGUUGCCGUGGUCGAAUCGAAUUGAUCGUUCGAAAUAUGCGAUCUCAGUGGUAUAAUUGUAAACACCAUAAUUUCAUUUGGCGCCGAGUGUUGUUUUCUUUAGUCGAGAAAUCUACGGGAACGUUGAGAAUAUUACGAGAGGUGGGAGUCGACCAGGAAAUCGAUAACCACCGUUAAAACUGCACAAACUGAACGGCAUCGGCUAAACAGAGGUUCGCUUUUUCGAAUUAAAUUCAACGAUUCGCGUGCGAUAUACUGUAGUUACAAGCUAAAUUCCCUGCAUAGUUUUUCUUUUUAUCGAAAACAAGCGAGACAAAAAAAGUACUGAGUAUUUUAUUGAAGUAACUCGUGGAAGAGUUUCGUAGCGUUGAAAUAACCGUGGUCGGAAUUAAAGGGGUGAAAUUGCUAUUCAUUAACCUGAGGUUUUGGUGGUUGAGGUUGUUGAGCAGGAUGUGACACCGGUUCCUCCUUCUUUCUUUUUCCGGCUCUCUCGUAUUCUUGAAGCUUCUUCAUAAUACGCGGCGAGUCUGUGAGUCGAAAAAUCCCGGAGAGUGGCCCGCGUGCCGCGUCUUCUGUGUCCAGGACACGUUCACGAAGUCCCGAGGGCUCCUGUGGCGUCGACGUAAACCUCACGGUCGACCUCGAGUCGCCAUCCGAAUCGUCCCCGUCCCGGUGUCGCAUAAAUCGACUUCUGUAUCUCGAUUUGUUCCUCGGCACUUCGUAUUCUGGUGCGUAUCGAUUUCUCGCCAGUCGCUCUUCCUCUUGCUGCCGGUAUUGCGAAGCCAGACGGUGGUCGCUUUUGCUUCUCAUGAGACCCGGUGAUCCUCCGGGAGGUGCUAGACUGCUCGAGCUACCCAGCAAUCCUCCGCUUCCGGUUUCUGGCUUGAUAUUCAGUUCGCCGUAACCGGCUACAUGGAGGACCAGUUGGUUAGGAUCGUGCGCCAUUACGAAACGCACUCGCCGACUGUAAUCCCCGGCUUCGUACUCGAAGUUCCUGCAACCAGGAUCGUAAAUUAGUCCGGGCUGUAACGAAAUUUUUGCCUUUCUUGCCGAGUUACAUUAUUACGAGUCAGCUACAGGUUCCCAGGAUUUAGUAAAAAGUUUCGUUUAACGAGGCAACUUUCAGGAAUUCUUUUCGACUUGGCGUGAGCGCCGAUCCGCUGCCAAGCAAAUUUUUGUUAGACGGCUAGUUAAUUCUCGCGCAAGUUGAAUAUUUGUUCCUGGGAAAGACAAAUAGGAUUUUUAUAUCUCAGGGACAUAGUACGUUUUAGGGGAGUGGCUUUUGUAUUUUCAAAUCUUUUAUCCGUUUCGAGGAAGUUGAUAAUAUGGUUAAAUUUGGAGAACUGGUAAAACAUAAAUUUAGCUUAACUCCUUCGCGUUUUUGAAAUAUUUUCUACGUCCCUUGACACGUUUUAAUUAAAACGAUAAAUCUGACUCCUUUCGAAAUAGGUUUAUCG